rnacentral:misc_RNA from 1 species
GUGAAUCAUCGAAUUUUUGAACGCACAUUGCACUCUCUUCUGAUAGUAUGCCUGUUUGAGGGUCAGCCUAAAAAAAACCGACAUCGUCGCUGUUUCGUGGUGGCGUUCGUCGGCAAUUGGGUUAUCUUUAAUCUUUGGUUUAAGCGGCUUAGUAGUUUCUUUACGAUUCCAUUUACUUUUCUCAGAUUUCUUUCUUUACACGUUUAAGGUAACGAUUUUAUUAGGCGUGGUGGUCAUAUCAGAUCAUGUCCAUAAUUUUUCGUUAACUUA